GAUGAACGCUGGCGGCGUGCUUAACACAUGCAAGUCGAACGAUGAAGCCCAGCCUGCUGGGCGGAUUAGUGGCGAACGGGUGAGUAACACGUGAGUAACCUGCCCUUGACUCUGGGAUAAGCCCGGGAAACUGGGUCUAAUACCGGAUAGGAGCGCCUGUCGCAUGACGGGUGCUGGAAAGAUUUUUCGGUCAUGGAUGGACUCGCGGCCUAUCAGCUUUGUUGGUGAGGUAACGGCUCACCAAGGCGACGACGGGUAGCCGGCCUGAGAGGGUGACCGGCCACACUGGGACUGAGACACGGCCCAGACUCCUACGGGAGGCAGCAAGUGGGGAAUAUUGCACAAAUGGGCCGGAAAGCCCUG
rnacentral:rRNA from 1 species